rnacentral:tRNA from 1 species
AGUUUUAUAAUUUAAUAAAAUAUUAAAUUGCAAAUUUAAAAUUAAUAUAAUUUAUAUUUAAAACUU